GGCCAGCUUUGUUUUCAGAAAGACAGAUUGGUGCUGAGUUCACACGUCUAGUAUCUGCUGACCUUCUGAAGUCCUUCCUGAGUGGACUUGAUCGAUAUUUGCCAAGACUGAUCAACUUGUAUGAAGCACAAAAGCAACGGAAAACAAAUCUGGGACAUGAUGCCAAGCUCCAGAGUCUUCUUGUGUCUUUUGAUUCUGUUAAGUCCAACCAGAACAGGAGAUCCACUGCACUUCUUGUACUUCCAUUCAUCUUAAAAGAAGAUCUCUCAAACUUCAUUAAGUUCUCAGAGGUAAGAUUGACACACUCCCAGUAUUGAUAUAAUGCAUGAUGUUAAAAUUUAAAGGACAUUCCUUCAAAAGUCUCACUAUGUGUAUUGAUGUGAAGAUCUGUAGAGUUUUCUCCCCAUGUAUAUUGGUGACCAUCUUUAACCCCUGCAGAUAAAAGGCUGAAGCACAGACGUCAGAAGAAAUAACCUAAACAAAACACAUUUUGAAUGCUAGGGUUAUACAGUAUAUACACAUUUUGUUCUCCUUUUUUUACUUUAGACCAUGGACGCUGCAGAGGUCCCAGCAGAGACGAAAGAAUUGAGUGUUGGCCUACUAGUCACCACAGACCAAAACACGGAUAUGACGGAUCAGUCAAAGAACGUUGUGAAUGUUUCCAUAAUCUUGGAGGGGUGCAUCGUUUUGCGGGAGUUGCGAGAUCUACCAAAUGGCUUUGCAGUGCUGAUCGGACUACUUUACUGCCUCAACAUCGAUUAUCCAAAGGAACUGAAGUACACCUUCGAAUUCAUCCAAAAGGUAAUCAUGGAUAUUGGGGGUAGUGCAUGCUCUGCUCGCGUUCAUGGACUGCGGAACAAACUGCUUCAGGGAACGAUGUAGAGACGUUCUUCAGAAAAAAAGCAGGGGCCACAUUAUUUUUGUUUGAGUUUUCUACAGUUGGAAUUUACAUUUUUGUAAACUGUUUAGGAGUCUCUGUUUAUGGAAAGAUGCAAAAAUGUUCUGCACAAAUUCCUGUGUUAGUUCAGUUGGACUUGUUUUUGACACAUUUGCAAAAUGUGUAAUUGUAAACUUUGAAGUGUACUGUUUAGGAGAAAGCAAGUUAUUUGUUCUGUUUUGUGACACACAGACACACGCACACCGAAACAUCAUCCCGCACGGUGACAUGUUGUGAAAAAAAAUUGUUUUUUUGUUUUUCUAUUCUUUUUUUUCUAUUUUUCAGUUGUGUUACAGUGUUUGAAAUGGUAAGCCAACUGGUAUUACUACGUGCAAUGAUACUCUGCGUAUAUCUCCAUAAAAUUUUACAACAAACAUUGACACAUACGUGAGUUUUAAACGUUGUUCUUUUCCUUGUUUCAAAAAGAUAAUUUUAUACUGUUUCAAUAACAAUGCUUUUGAAAUAAAAUUUUUCACAAAUGAUUGAGAUUGUCUUUAAUCUAAAGUUAUGUAGUGGAUUUAAUUUAGCAUUUCUCAUUACUU